UACGUAGGGGGCAAGCGUUGUCCGGAUUUAUUGGGCGUAAAGAGCGUGUAGGCGGCCAGACAGGUCAGCUGUGAAAACUCGAGGCUCAACCUCGAGACGUCGGUUGAAACCGUCUGGCUAGAGUCCGGAAGAGGAGAGUGGAAUUCCCGGUGUAGCGAUGAAAUGCGCAGAUAUCGGGAAGAACACCCGUGGCGAAGGCGGCUCUCUGGGACGGUACUGACGCUGAGACGCGAAAGCGUGGGGAGCGAACAGG
rnacentral:rRNA from 1 species